rnacentral:rRNA from 1 species
UGCCAGCAGCCGCGGUAAUACGAAUGGAGCAAGCGUUGUUCGGAAUCACUGGGCAUAAAGGGCGUGUAGGCGGCUUAUCAAGUCAAAAGUGAAAUCCCUUGGCUCAACCAAGGAAUGGCUUUUGAAACUGAUGAGCUAGAGUUCAGGAGGGGAGUGUGGAAUUCCUAGUGGGGCGGUGAAAUGCGUAGAUAUUAGGAGGAACGCCAGUGGCGAAAGCGACACUCUGGACUGAAACUGACGCUGAGGCGCGAAAGCUGGGGGAGCGAACCGGAUUAGAUA